rnacentral:rRNA from 1 species
GGAUGAACGCUGGCGGCGCGCUUAACACAUGCAAGUCGAACGAUUAAUGCACCCCUCGGGGUGCGCAUAAAGUGGCGAACGGCUGAGUAACACGUGGGCAACCUGCCCCCCGCACCGGGAUAGCCUCGGGAAACCGAGGGUAAUACCGGAUACUCCGCCCCCCUCGCAUGGGAGGGGCGGGAAAGCACAUACGGCGGGGGAUGGGCCCGCGGCCUGUUAGCUCGUUGGCGGGGUAACGGCCCACCAAGGCGAUUAUGGGUAGCCGGGUUGAGAGACCGACCGGCCAGAUUGGGACUGAGACACGGCCCAGACUCCUACGGGAGGCAGCAGUGGGGAAUCUUGCACAAUGGGCGAAAGCCUGAUGCCAGCGACGCCGCGUGCGGGAAGAAGGCCCUCGGGUUGUAAACCGCUUUCAGCAGGGACGAGGCGCAAGUGACGGUACCUGCAGAAGAAGCCCCGGCUAACUACGUGCCAGCAGCCGC